AAAACCCUGCCCUUUAGCUGUUAGGUGUACAGUUUUCCAUAUUGGCUACUGGAGGCUGCGUCACCAGGCCUGUGCUUUAAUAAAUAAUUUUUUCCUUUCCAAAUUAUUCUCUCUGGCUCCUUCAUACCUCAGGAAGUGGGGAACCACCACAUUUGAGGGCUCGUCCGGGAUGGAAUAACAACCCACCGACUCAAUUCCUGAGGACUGAUUCACGAAGAGCAAAGAACCACAGCAAGCAACAACGGGUCAGUCUGGUGCAAAACCUGCUCCCACGCCCCUUAGUCUUGUCUUGGAUCACUUUAAAGAAUUUAAGAGGGUGAAAAGGCAUCUUGGACCCAGAUGAGACCCCCCACGGCUGAUCCAGAAUGACUAGAGCACUUGUUUCCUUUAUCUCGGCCCAACUGGAACCCCAACACAUCUGGAGGUAAGGAGGCUCUGACCCAAUAUCGCCAACUGCUUCUAGUGG